rnacentral:rRNA from 1 species
AUUGAACGCUGGCGGCAGGCUUAACACAUGCAAGUCGAGCGGGGUGAUGGUGCUUGCACUAUCACUUAGCGGCGGACGGGUGAGUAAUGCUUAGGAAUCUGCCUAUUAGUGGGGGACAACAUCUCGAAAGGGAUGCUAAUACCGCAUACGUCCUACGGGAGAAAGCAGGGGAUCACUUGUGACAUUGCGCUAAUAGAUGAGCCUAAGUCGGAUUAACUAGUUGGUGGGGUAACGGCCUACCAAGGCGACGAUCUGUAGCGGGUCUGAGAGGAUGAUCCGCCACACUGGGACUGAGACACGGCUCAGACUCCUACGGGAGGCAGCAGUGGGGAAUAUUGGACAAUGGGGGGAAACCUGAUCCAGCCAUGCCGCGUGUGUGAAGAAGGCCUUAUGGUUGUAAAGCACUUUAAGCGAGGAGGAGGCUCUUUUGGUUAAUACCCAAGAUGAGUGGACGUUACUCGCAGAAUAAGCACCGGCUAACUCUGUGCCAGCCGCCGCGGUAA